GAUGAACGCUAGCGGCAGGCUUAACACAUGCAAGUCGAGGGGUAUUGGUUUUCGGACCAAGAGACCGGCGCACGGGUGCGUAACGCGUAUGCAAUCUACCUUUUGCAGAGGGAUAGCCCCAGAGAAAUUUGGAUUAAUACCUCAUAGUAUAGUACUUUGGCAUCAAGGAACUAUUAAAGUCACAACGGCAAAAGAUGAGCAUGCGUCCCAUUAGCUAGUUGGUAAGGUAACGGCUUACCAAGGCUACGAUGGGUAGGGGUCCUGAGAGGGAGAUCCCCCACACUGGUACUGAGACACGGACCAGACUCCUACGGGAGGCAGCAGUGAGGAAUAUUGGACAAUGGGCGCAAGCCUGAUCCAGCCAUGCCGCGUGCAGGAUGACGGUCCUAUGGAUUGUAAACUGCUUUUAUACAGGAAGAAACACUCCGACGUGUCGGAGCUUGACGGUACUGUAAGAAUAAGGAUCGGCUAACUCCGUGCCAGCAG
rnacentral:rRNA from 1 species